AACGAACGCUGGCGGCAUGCCUAACACAUGCAAGUCGAACGAGACCUUCGGGUCUAGUGGCGCACGGGUGCGUCACGCGUGGGAACCUGCCCUUAGGUUCGGAAUAACUCUCCGAAAGGGGUGCUAAUACCGGAUAAUGUCUUCGGACCAAAGAUUUAUCGCCUUUGGAUGGGCCCGCGUUGGAUUAGCUUGUUGGUAGGGUAAAAGCCUACCAAGGCGACGAUCCAUAGCUGGUCUGAGAGGAUGAUCAGCCACACUGGGACUGAGACACGGCCCAGACUCCUACGGGAGGCAGCAGUGGGGAAUAUUGGACAAUGGGCGAAAGCCUGAUCCAGCAAGGCCGCGUGAGUGAUGAAGGCCUUAGGGUUGUAAAGCUCUUUUACCCGGGAUGAUAAUGACAGUGCCGGGAGAAUAAGCUCCGGCUAACUCCGUG
rnacentral:rRNA from 1 species